GAGUGCUCAUCGACAUAUGCUGACAUACGAGUUCAUGUAGAUAUAUUUUGACAAGAACAUGACUAGGUGUAAUAAUGAUUUACGCUUUAGUACUACAAUCACGUGAAGACUGGAGCUAUGCGCAUCACAUACGAGUCCUAAUUGCCUAUAGCAAUCUAGGACAUGACUGGCACCUACAAUGGAUCCAAAGUGAGCAUGCGGUC
rnacentral:lncRNA from 1 species